rnacentral:lncRNA from 1 species
CGAGACGCCCGGUGACUUCUGCUGGCACCUGCUGCCCUCGGCAUCACCUCCCUCAUCCCCCUGGAGGGCACGCUGGAAAGCUGCAACUCCCCACCCUCCGCACAGGAGCGCCCCGUAGACGCGCAGAUGGGCCCAGCCACCCAGCGGGGCGGCAGCCCUGAGCACACAAGUUUGGAGAGCGCGCGAGGCACCUGAAAGUGGUUGGGGUUUGGAAGCAAAAGGGUGACACCUGCUGUUCGCUGGGACCGCUCUGCGGGUGUGGGCGUCGGUUUGGAAACGUCCUUUGCCUGAGCUCUGCUUGAACCUGGGUGCCAGAGACUACCUGGGACAGCUCUACUGACAUCAUCAGCACGUGAUUCUAGCCUCAUUAACUCUAACUUGGGAAAAGUGCUUCUGGAGGAAAGGGAAGAGAUUCUAAGGCUGUGUGCCCCAUUCUUAUUACUCUAUCUCAGUGGGUCUCAAUCCCGGCUACACAUUGGAAUCACUUGGAAAGCUUUAAAAAUAAAACCAAACCUGUGCUUGGGCUCCACCAUAGGUGUUCACCACAGCUGUCAGUAUAAAUCAAUGCAUCUUGGUUCCAUUCUUCAUCAUUUGCUGGUAGCUAAAUUAUGGUAAAUUCAGCUAAGGACAUUUUAAAAUCCUGUUUAAUUUGUCCACAUGCUAAAUAUCCCAGCACACAAGAGAAAAAGCAGCAUGUACUUGGAUAAGACAAACCUAGGGCUUCCUUCGAGUUAAGGAACAGUCUUGGAAGUCUUGUUAUAGUUAAUGGUUUUUUGAGUGGAUGAGCAAAUGAAUGAAUAUACAAAUGGUUAUGCACACAAUUAAGCAAACUACUUGAUCACAUUCCUCCUUUUGGUUUUGCUUCCUCUACCUGUCAGUUGUCCUGAACACCUGCGGAGGUAUUUUGUGCAGGAUGGUUUACCACAUUGGCCUUGGGAGUUGAGGAAGCACCAGCUUAGGUUCUGCCACGUGCUCUUUCCUGACAGCGAGUGCUGCUGGCUGCUGACGCCUAGAAUCUCAGCACGGGAGCUGCCUUUGUCACAGACCUUGGUUCCCCAUUCAAUCGAGCACCUGUGCAGUUGCCCUGUGGUCUAGCAUCCCAGGCUCAGCAGUGACAGCUCCUGAUGGGCUUUCACCUGACUUUCUAAAUCAGUGCUGUUCUAAAUCUGUGCUAAAUCUGGUGACCAGCCAGAGCCUGGUCACCCCUGCAUGGAGUAGGAGUGAAGCUUAUGAAAAGGUGAGGUGCCAAACACACAGAGGAGAACACGGAGGAGGCCAUAUUGUAAUAAAGAGAAAGCAAGCAGUCAGAAGUCACCCCAUAAAACACCUUCCACCCUCUGAGCAUGACCAGCAAAGCGGUUUCUUCUUGCGGACACUGCAUCAGCCCAGCUCAAAGUGCAUUCCAUUCUGAUGAACAUCCACAAACAGUUAUGAAGAAGACCCAAAUGUCAUGAUUUUGUUCCUCUCAGAUAAUAAAAAUAUCAUGAUUCUGAAAAAAAAAAAAAAAAAAAA